rnacentral:rRNA from 1 species
AGUGAACGCUGGCGGUAGGCCUAACACAUGCAAGUCGAACGGCAGCACAGUAAGAGCUUGCUCUUACGGGUGGCGAGUGGCGGACGGGUGAGGAAUACAUCGGAAUCUACUUUUUCGUGGGGGAUAACGUAGGGAAACUUACGCUACUACCGCAUACGACCUACGGGUGAAAGCAGGGGAUAUUCGGACCUUGCGCGAUUGAAUGAGCCGAUGUCGCAUUAGCUAGUUGGCGGGGUAAAGGCCCACCAAGGCAAGGAUCCGUAGCUGGUCUGAGAGGAUGAUCAGCCACACUGGAACUGAGACACGGUCCAGACUCCUACGGGAGGCAGCAGUGGGGAAUAUUGGACAAAGGGCGCAAGCCUGAUCCAGCCAUACCGCGUGGGUGAAGAAGGCCUUCGGGUUGUAAAGCCCUUUUGUUGGGAAAGAAAAGCAGCAGGUUAAUAUCCCGCUGUUCUGACGGUACCCAAAGAAUAAGCACCGGCUAACUUCGUG